CGGUUCCAAUUAAUUCACAUCACCAAUAUUUUAAUCGAAUAACAUUACUAAAAAACCAUUAAAAAAUAAGAAAGGGUAAAUGAGAGAUUUACCCAUAAGGUAAAUCUGGAAAGAUCCGAAGGAAACCGAAAAUCACUCCCCCACUUCCUAUUCGGAAGAAGUUGAAUCGAUUAGGGCUCAGAGAUUCCAUCGCCGUGAAAUUUCUGUACUUUAUCCAAGAAGAUUGAAGAAGAACUGGUUUUUGGGUUUCUCUUCGAAAAAUUCUUGUCCAAAUUCGAAUAGAGCAACUCUUGAUUUUUUCGAAGAAGAUUGAAGGACGACCAUCCGGUGAUCGCAGAAGACCGAAGAACCACGAAAUUUUCACACAGGGCUGAAGAACGUCGAUCUUACUGUGUAAAUGUAAGUCUUAGUUGUAAUCUCGCUAUAUCAUUUUUCAUUCGGAAUUUAAAAACACGAAAUCUUCAUUUAUAGUUACAUUUUUUACAGAUAUGUAAUUUUUAAGGAUUUUACUGUUUCCCAGAAAAAAUCUAGCAUAAUCUAAGAAUAUUCCACCAAAAAAACAUCGAAAUAAUUUUUCCGAAUGUUCGAAAGAGAUUGUGAAAAGUAUUUAUUCUGUGGAAAUUAGGGCUUUGGGGGUCCGAAUCGAAAAAUUAUUAGUUUUUUUAAAUGAUAAUUUUCGAUCUAAAGAUUCAGUUUUUUAGAAUUAUUAGCUUUGAAUAUCUUGAAAUCAAUAUUCAUCAAAUUUUUACUUUUGUUCAUAAAUCAAUCAUAAUUGUUCGGUUCAUAUGAUAUUUGGUGAUUGAGUAUAUCUUAUUAUGAAAUCUUAUGAAAUUGCUUUAACUGGUUCAUUCUAAAAUGAAUAAUGAUUGUUUGGUUUGUAUUAUUUUCAGAAUAUAAUGUAACUUAUUCAAUUAUAAUGAUAUAUAGUUUAUUCUUUUACAGGAGAUACCGGAGAUACAAACAAGUGUUUUGAAGUUUAUUGCUGUGAAAAGGUAAUGUUUUCACCAAUAUUGUUUAGGAUCUGUAAAGUUUUAUGGUGGUUUUCGAUUUUUAGGGCUAUUCAUUGAAUACAGUGCCUUCCUACUUUUAUCUCCAUAUAUGUGAAUGCACCAAUGCAGUCUCUUAGUGAAAAACCACGCCUGAAUACAACAAAUAAUUUCGUGUUCGAUGCAUCUUGUUCAAGAAAUUAAAAUAAUUGUUCACAAAUCUGAUAAUGUCUGUUCAAUUAUAAUGAAUAAAUAAUUGCGUAUUUCUUGUUCAAUGAAUUUUUGUAUUAUGUUCAGCUUUAGAUAAGUGGUGUUCAGUAAAUUACAGCAUGCUAUUCAAAGUGUUUUUCAGAAAGUUAUGUCAAAUUCGGUGCGUGGUUAUUAGGAAAUAUUACAUCACUUGUUAACAUAAUUGGUAAAGUUUUUCUUUUGUGAUGGAUAAAUCAAUUAGUAUUCCGUAUUCAAAACCAUAUUUUAUCUUGUUCUGCAUUCAAUUAGUUUUUGUAGUAAAACAGUAAUGAGAUUAGUGAUUCCCUACUUUAAUUUCUUUGACAUUAAUGCUAAUUUUUCUUCGAAGUAAUAUACAUAUAUCCUUUCUUCGUUCCAAUAUAUCUUUAGUUUUCAUUCGAAGCUCAUCUAGUUAUACUGACCUUUCAGCAUUCCGGGAGUCAAGUCAUGAAGAAGUAUAUUUGAGUUGCAAAAGCAGUUGUUCAUCAUAUCUAAAUUCAAGCCAGAAUGACAUUUCUCUGGCUCCUUUUCUCUGGCUCCUUGCACUUCAACAUGGACCCCAAACAACAAAGGGGAUUUUUGUUGCUGCAGUUUAAUGGCUCGAUUUUUUUUCUUUAUUUAGUUCAAUAUUACAAUUGAUGUAUUCGUUUGAUUCUGUAACACCAAUAUUCAUUGAGAAAUUGUUAUUCGUUCAUUGAAAAAUUGUUAUUAUUCAUUA
rnacentral:lncRNA from 1 species